UGUAUGUGUGUGUGUGUGUGCAUGCGCAUGUGUGUGUGCACUUCUGCCCAUGCACACACACACACACACACACACACACACACA
rnacentral:miRNA from 1 species